rnacentral:lncRNA from 1 species
AGACCAAAUAAUGACCUGAUCAAUAACCAGAACAUGUGGCUUCUGCUCUUGAUCUUCAGAGGACGAAAAUGUUCCUUUAGAUCCAAAAAGCGGCAAUUCUAUAGGGGAAGUGAAAGAGGAAGGUGAUGUUUAUGGUUGUGACCUCUGGGAUAGACUCUAUAGGGAGCCAAAUGUUUGACAACUGUGACUACUCAGAUGAAGGAAGCCAAGGUCUACAAUUUGACUGAGCAACAAUCACCAUGAGCCAACCUGAAAAUACAAGGAUGUUGGAAGGUGGAAGAAUAAAUUUGGACUGGAAAUUAUACUACCUCAUUGGUGUCAUUCUUACAGAGCAUCUCUAACUCGGAUCCGUCUUAGAAACAGACUUGGCUUCAGAAGCCUGCUGCCCUGAUGUGCUGACUACAACAUAUGAGAACAAAGCCUGAGAAUUCGGGUCAUCAGCAAUCCCUACUUCGUGGCCCUCCGUCCCUUCCCCCCCUUUCCUCUCUCUCUUCCUUCCUCAUGCAGUUUGCCAUGAAUUUGUAACCGAAAGUUCGGUCUCUGAACCCGAUGCCAAUCCAAAUAAUGAGAACAGAGUCUUGAGUGGAAGAGGAAAGGUUUUUACUAUGCCAGGCACAGGGAGCAAAGCAAGGGCUCAUGCCUCAAAAAUUCCUAGCUCCCCAUGAGGAAUGGGUAGGGAUUUUUAUUUGGGGUUUUGGGUAGGGGAGGGGGGAAGAUGUAGCUUGUGCAGCUCGGUGCUUUCCCACCAGCCUGCGUUUGGCCUUGAGAGGCUGCUUGCAGCAAGGCAGGGGGAGGGUGAGACAGGAGGAUGGCAGGUGGGCGUCCUUUGCCCGUUGUCUCAUCUUCUUGUUUGAGGCAGGUUCGAGCGCUGGGAGUCGAGGAGUUGAGGUCUGGGAAGCCUCCGCUCCUUGAUACUCUUGAGACAGGGGCUUUGCUGGCAAACUCGAAGACACAUGAUUAGCUAAACUUUAGUGUGCCUUCAACUCCAGGCCACCUGGGCUUUUAACAAUUUGUAACUCCCAUUUAGUUGUAAAGCUCAAAGAGUCCAAGUUUAAAGAAACAGGUAUUUACAUAUGAGUGGAGCUAGAGAAGCAGGAAAGGGGGUGGUGGGUUUUAGUUUUAACCCCAUAUACGCUGGGUUCAGUGUGGGGGAACUGAUAUCAGGGCUGAUGUUAAGAGCCUGUAACAAGUUUAACCAUCUAUGAAACUGCCACAACAUAACGCACAAUUUAAGUAUCAACUUCAAUUUUGGCUUUGAAAUUAUUUCUCAAGACUCCUCUCUAAGAAGUCACUUCAACAAAUAUUUCUGUUAGACACUGCCCUCUUACAGGUUCUUAAGUUCUUUCUAGCCAGCCAGAGAGAGUAGUUACAUCUUCACCAAAGGACAAACUGUGAGGGAAAAUGACAGAGCAGGGACUGCUCGUUUUGCAUUCUUCGGUUCAAUCACUUCGGUUCAUUAGGGAAAUAAAACUGUCAGCACAAUAUCUCUGGGUAGGAGGACAUGGGUAGGGUAUCUGACUCAAAGGCUUGCCCAAGGCUAAAGCCACCAUGUAAGCUUUAAUUAACUGGGAGAGUCAGGGGCAGGUGCUGUAUCAAGGAACACUAUUCAUAUUGUUAAUUUUUUAUGUGAAUAUAGGGAAACUCCUGGAUGCAUUGUUUCAUAAUUAAUUUUCUUAUAAGUUAUGAAUGUCCUAGAUAUCCCCUAAAGGAGGGCUGGAGAGAUCAAUUCUUUUAAUGCCUUUUAGUUUUAUAGGUUCUUCCUGUAGCCAUCUGUUGAUGGCUGCAAUUGAGUUUCGCUUUCUUCUGUGGCUUUAUGGAGCCUAGAAUCGCUCUCCUUUUAAGAUAGAAAUGGUUAAUGAUCACUACCAUGGCUUUGAGAAUAGUUUAAUUUCCUUUGAUGCGUGUU